GUAACACACAAUAGCUGCAGUACGAGGUAAUAUCAUUUAAUUGUCAAUAAUAAUAAUAAUAAUAACCGAAAUUCAAACUAUAUAGUAUAUGCAUGUCAUAUCAAAUUUAAUUAAUUCUAAUUAUGCUAUUGUUGUUACACAACGCAUUACUUGAGGGUCCGUCGCAUAUCAACAAUGCAGAAGCGAGGAAAUAUCCUAUCCAUGUGAAAAGGACAAUACGUAUAGCCCCAAAGAGGACAUCAUUACAUACCAUUGCAUCGCAAACAUCCAAGUUAGUCAUUAAUGAUACACACACAGCAGCUUAAAAGUGUUGUUAAAAUCACUAGGUAUCAAGAUUGUCACAAAUUAGGAUACUAGGACACAAGCCUAGCUGCGGAGAAAGUAUUAUUUAUCCAAAUUUGAUAUAUUUAGUGAUGAGACGACAAUAGAUGAAGUGCCACCAAUUAACUCAGAAGGAUUUCAACUGAGUGUUGACAUAUAAAUGUAAACAAAGGAAAAUCACAUACCCAGGACACCAUAUGCACUGAUGGUGUAAUAUAAAAGUCCACAUUUAUCGAUGAUCACUUGCAAGAUAGCUAUUUUAUCCUGUGUAGUAUACAAUAGAUGUAUCUUCAGGAAUAUUAACUUUGAACAACAAUAAGUGAUGCAGCAGCACAUGGGAUCCCAACAAAUUAACUAAAAACGUACAAGAUUGAGGCACUGAGGUACAAUUAUAAGGAAAUAUAACACCACCAGCUCUCCACACAUAUCAAUAACGUCAUCAGGAUGGUAAUAUAUUGUCUCACGUGGACCACCAGCAGUUUCCAGGAGGCUUCAUACACCACAGUCCCUCCGAGGAAGACCAGACUGAUGAGGCCGUGUUGCAGCGUCAAAGGGAUGAUAUAUCCACUAAAUUAUAUAUCACUAUUUUAUAAUUAAU